UUGCUAUUUUGUUGGCUCUUUAAAAGCUUAUUGAGUUCAUGUUGCGCCACCUUGAAGACGUGCCGACAAAAUGAACAGUGGUUGUUAUAUCGCUAGGAGUGAUUUUCGAAACCUUACACGUGGAGGGACAAGAGUGAUUGUCGGAGCCCCGUGUGUAGAGGGACAAUCUCGCUUUUAGGACAUUACUUUGCAUCCCUCGACUCAUAGGCCUCAUCUGAUUUUUUUCAUCUCUAUAAUUUUUACUAUUUAAUUUUUGCUUGCGGUUUUUCAAAACUGAACCUAAAUUGUUUUGGUUCAAAAUUAUUUAAAAGAAAAUUUUA
rnacentral:lncRNA from 1 species